rnacentral:rRNA from 1 species
GACAGCCAGGAUGUUGGCUUAGAAGCAGCCAUCAUUUAAAGAAAGCGUAAUAGCUCACUGGUCGAGUCGGCCUGCGCGGAAGAUGUAACGGGGCUAAACCAUGCACCGAAGCUGCGGCAGCGACGCUGAUGCGUUGUUGGGUAGGGGAGCGUUCUGUAAGCCUGUGAAGGUGGCCUGUGAGGGUUGCUGGAGGUAUCAGAAGUGCGAAUGCUGACAUAAGUAACGAUAAAGCGGGUGAAAAGCCCGCUCGCCGGA